rnacentral:rRNA from 1 species
UACACAAAAAUCUUUAUAAAACUAAACAAACCAUUUGACCAACCAAGUAGAUGUGAUCGAACAGUAUAUAAUUCACCAAAGUACCGCAAGGGAAUACCCUUAAGCAAAAAACAGCAAAGAUAAACCCUUGUACCUUUCGCAUCAUGGUUUAGCAAGCAAAUAGGACAAGAAGAAUCAUAGCCCUCCACCCCGAAACCAGAUGAGCUACUUUCAAGCAGCACACUAGGGCACACCCUUCUCUGUAGCAAAAGAGUGGGACGACUUUAAAGUAGAGGUGAAACGCCUAUCGAAUCUGGAGAUAGCUGGUUACCCAAAAAGGAAUCUAAGUUCCACUUUAGACCUAAAAAAAUUACUUAUUUACCCUAAAGAAAAUCAGUAGGGGUACAGCUCUACUGAAACAGGAAACAACCUGAAUUUGAGAGAAAACUUAAUUUAAACCACACCUGUAGGACUUAAAGCAACCACCUUGCAAAAUAUCGUUAAAGAAUUUAAUAUAAAAAUAACCAAACUUGUUUUAAUCUCCAAAUAAACUCAGGGUGAACCAAUAUUAAUUGGUACCAUAAUGCUAAAACUAAUAAUAAGACAACCUCUCUACCACGCACCUAUCCACUAGAAACGGAAAAACCACUAGCCAUUAACAGACCACAAUAGAUCUCCAACCAACCACUAUCCCCACCUCACACAAACUGUGAACCCGACACAGGCGCGUAUAAAAGAAAGAUUAACCACUAUAAAAGGAACUCGGCAACCACAAACCCCAACUGUUUAACAAAAACAUAACCUUUAGCCAAACAAAUAUUAAAGGCAACGCCUGCCCAGUGAACAAUUAAACGGCCGCGGUACCCUAACCGUGCAAAGGUAGCAUAAUCAUUUGUCUAUUAAUUGUAGACCUGUAUGAAAGGCAAAAUGAGGGUUUAACUGUCUCUUAUAGUAACUCUAUUAAACUGAUCUCCUAGUAAAAAAGCUAGAAUAAUAACAUAAGACCAGAAGACCCUGUGAAGCUUGAACUAAACUAUUAAACCAAAUAAUAACUACUUUCGGUUGGGGCGACCUUGGAAACAAAAAGAACUUCCAAAUACAAGUACUCUUACUCUUACAAAGGCCUACAAGCCACCUAACGACCCAGUUAAAACUGAUAAUUGAACAAAGUUACUCCAGGGAUAACAGCGCUAUCUUCUUCAAGAGCCCAUAUCAAAAAGAAGGUUUACGACCUCGAUGUUGGAUCAGGACACCCCAAUGGUGCAGCCGCUAUUAAAGGUUCGUUUGUUCAACGACUAACGUCCUACGUGAUCU